UGAACGCUGGCGGCGUGCCUAAUACAUGCAAGUAGAACGCAGAGGAUUGGUGCUUGCACUAAUCUAAUGAGUUGCGAACGGGUGAGUAACGCGUAGGUAACCUGCCUGGUAGCGGGGGAUAACUAUUGGAAACGAUAGCUAAUACCGCAUAAUAGUUUAUGACUCAUGUUAUAAACUUGAAAGAUACAACUGUAUCACUACCAGAUGGACCUGCGUUGUAUUAGCUAGUAGGUAGGGUAACGGCCUACCUAGGCGACGAUACAUAGCCGACCUGAGAGGGUGAUCGGCCACACUGGGACUGAGACACGGCCCAGACUCCUACGGGAGGCAGCAGUAGGGAAUCUUCGGCAAUGGGGGGAACCCUGACCGAGCAACGCCGCGUGAGUGAAGAAGGUUUUCGGAUCGUAAAGCUCUGUUGUUAAGGAAGAACGGGAGUAGGAGUGGAAAGCCUACU
rnacentral:rRNA from 1 species